rnacentral:rRNA from 1 species
AUUGAACGCUGGCGGCAGGCCUAACACAUGCAAGUCGAACGAGUGGCGGACGGGUGAGUAAUGUCUGGGAAACUGCCCGAUGGAGGGGGAUAACUACUGGAAACGGUAGCUAAUACCGCAUACCAUCGGAUGUGCCCAGAUGGGAUUAGCUUGUAGGUGAGGUAACGGCUCACCUAGGCGACGAUCCCUAGCUGGUCUGAGAGGAUGACCAGCGAAACUGGAACUGAUACACGGGCUAUGUUCCUAUGGGGGGCAGCAGUGGGGAAUAUUGAAAAAGGGGCGGAAGCCUGAUGCAGCCAUGCCGCGUGUAGGAAGAAUGCCGUCGGGUUGUAAAUUACUUGCAGCGGGGAGGCGUUACCCGCAGAAGAAGCACCGGCUAACUCCGUGCCAGCAGACGCGGUAAUAC